AGUCGUAACAAGGUCUCCGUUGGUGAACCAGCGGAGGGAUCAUUAGCGAGUUAAUCAUAAACUCCAAAACCCCUGUGAACUUACCUAUGUUGCCUCGGCAGGUCGUGGUGUGUAGCGGUGACCACUGGGUCGCUUGCCUCGCACCACGCUGAAAAGACCUGUCAAAGGACCCCUAAACUCUGUUUUUACAACUGUAUCUCUGAGUCUAUUAUACAAAUAAGUUAAAACUUUCAACAACGGAUCUCUUGGCUCUGGCAUCGAUGAAGAACGCAGCGAAAUGCGAUAAGUAAUGUGAAUUGCAGAAUUCAGUGAAUCAUCGAAUCUUUGAACGCACAUUGCGCCUGAUAGUAUUCUGUCAGGCAUGCCUGUUCGAGCGUCAUUUCAACCCCCAAGCCCUAUUUGCUUGACGUUGGGAGUUUACGGAGACGUAAUUCCUCAAAUAUAGUGGCGGAGCUAGGUCGUGCUCUAAGCGUAGUAACCACAAUUCUCGCUUCUGCAGCCGGCUUAGGUCCUGCCGUAAAACCCCUAUAUUUUUUUAUUGGUUGACCUCGGAUCAGGUAGGAAUACCCGCUGAACUUAAGCAUAUCAAUA
rnacentral:misc_RNA from 1 species